AUUGAACGCUGGCGGCAUGCUUUACACGUGCAAGUCGAACGGUAACAGGCCGCAAGGUGCUGACGAGUGGCGAACGGGUGAGUAAUGCAUCGGAACGUGCCCAGUCGUGGGGGAUAACUACUCGAAAGAGUAGCUAAUACCGCAUACGAUCUAUGGAUGAAAGCGGGGGACCGUAAGGCCUCGCGCGAUUGGAGCGGCCGAUGUCAGAUUAGGUAGUUGGUGGGGUAAAGGCUCACCAAGCCAACGAUCUGUAGCUGGUCUGAGAGGACGACCAGCCACACUGGGACUGAGACACGGCCCAGACUCCUACGGGAGGCAGCAGUGGGGAAUUUUGGACAAUGGGCGCAAGCCUGAUCCAGCAAUGCCGCGUGCAGGAAGAAGGCCUUCGGGUUGUAAACUGCUUUUGUACGGAACGAAACGGCUCUGGUUAAUACCCGGGGCUAAUGACGGUACCGUAAGAAUAAGCACCGGCUAACUACGUG
rnacentral:rRNA from 1 species